UACAGGGGGGUGCAAACGUUGCUCGGAAUCAUUGGGCGUAAAGCGCACGUAGGCGGUUCGUUAUGUCGGAUGUGAAAGCCCUUGGCUUAACCGAGGAAGUGCAUCCGAAACUGGCGAGCUAGAGUACGAAAGAGGAUCGCGGAAUUCCCGGUGUAGAGGUGAAAUUCGUAGAUAUCGGGAGGAACACCGGUGGCGAAGGCGGCGAUCUGGGGUCGAUACUGACGCUGAGGUGCGAAAGCGUGGGGAGCAAACAGG
rnacentral:rRNA from 1 species